rnacentral:rRNA from 1 species
AGAGUUUGAUCCUGGCUCAGGAUGAACGCUGGCGGCGUGCUUAACACAUGCAAGUCGAGCGAAGCAGUUAAGAAGAUUCUUCGGAUGAUUCUUGACUGACUGAGCGGCGGACGGGUGAGUAACGCGUGGGUGACCUGCCCCAUACCGGGGGAUAACAGCUGGAAACGGCUGCUAAUACCGCAUAAGCGCACAGAGCUGCAUGGCUCGGUGUGAAAAACUCCGGUGGUAUGGGAUGGGCCCGCGUCUGAUUAGGCAGUUGGCGGGGUAACGGCCCACCAAACCGACGAUCAGUAGCCGGCCUGAGAGGGCGACCGGCCACAUUGGGACUGAGACACGGCCCAAACUCCUACGGGAGGCAGCAGUGGGGAAUAUUGCACAAUGGGGGAAACCCUGAUGCAGCGACGCCGCGUGAGCGAAGAAGUAUUUCGGUAUGUAAAGCUCUAUCAGCAGGGAAGAUAAUGACGGUACCUGACUAAGAAGCCCCGGCUAACUACGUGCCAGCAGCCGCGGUAAUACGUAGGGGGCAAGCGUUAUCCGGAUUUACUGGGUGUAAAGGGAGCGUAGACGGCAAGGCAAGUCUGAUGUGAAAACCCAGGGCUUAACCCUGGGACUGCAUUGGAAACUGUCUGGCUCGAGUGCCGGAGAGGUAAGCGGAAUUCCUAGUGUAGCGGUGAAAUGCGUAGAUAUUAGGAAGAACACCAGUGGCGAAGGCGGCUUACUGGACGGUAACUGACGUUGAGGCUCGAAAGCGUGGGGAGCAAACAGGAUUAGAUACCCUGGUAGUCCGCACGGUAAACGAUGGAUGCCCGCUGUUGGUCUGAACAGGUCAGCGGCCAAGCGAAAGCAUUAAGCAUCCCACCUGGGGAGUACGCCGGCAACGGUGAAACUCAAAGGAAUUGACGGGGGCCCGCACAAGCGGAGGAACAUGUGGUUUAAUUCGAUGAUACGCGAGGAACCUUACCCGGGCUUGAAUUGCAGAGGAAGGAUUUGGAGACAAUGACGCCCUUCGGGGUCUCUGUGAAGGUGCUGCAUGGUUGUCGUCAGCUCGUGCCGUGAGGUGUCGGCUUAAGUGCCAUAACGAGCGCAACCCCUCUCCUUAGUUGCCAUCAGGUUAAGCUGGGCACUCUGGGGACACUGCCACCGUAAGGUGUGAGGAAGGUGGGGAUGACGUCAAAUCAGCACGGCCCUUACGUCCGGGGCUACACACGUGUUACAAUGGCAGGUACAGAGAGACGGUUGUACGUAAGUACGAUCAAAUCCUUAAAGCCUGUCCCAGUUCGGACUGGGGUCUGCAACCCGACCCCACGAAGCUGGAUUCGCUAGUAAUCGCGCAUCAGCCAUGGCGCGGUGAAUACGUUCCCGGGCCUUGUACACACCGCCCGUCAAGCCAUGAAAGCCGGGGGCGCCUAAAGUCCGUGACCGUAAGGAGCGGCCUAGGGCGAAACUGGUAAUUGGGGCUAAGUCGUAACAAGGUA